AAGUGGCGGAUCUUAGCAAAUUACGUUCUGGAAAGGACUGACGGGUCCUUUUCACAGGGGCUGAGUUUCCCUCGCCUCACCCCGCCCCCCUUCCAUCCCAUCAACUCGGAUCUGAUCUCCCGGCUCUUCUGCAGCUCUCUCCUCCUCGCCAUUUAGAAUGAGGAAAAUGGAAGGCAAGAAGAAUAUUUUUUUUUCCAAAGUCAUUCAGCUGGACUGAAGCCAGAAACCUUCACUCUGCAGCUCCCUUGUCCAGAUGCUGAAGCCGGUCUAUUUGGCUUCAAACCGCCGCUGGUCAGUGACCAGCUGAGAGACCACGCUACAGUUACUUAACCUCUCUUAGCCCCAGGUUCUUCCUCUGUGAGAUGGAAAAAUUACAGCGGUUCCCAUUUCGCGCGGUUGUGAAGAACAGUAAAUGACUCUUGUUGAGGGUUUGGGUAUACGAUCACGUGUUCAAUACGCAUUACCAGUUACUGUUGUCAUUUCUCUUUCGAAAAAUAUCCAACAUUUCUUACCGUGU